GACGAAACGCUGGCGGUAUGCCUAACACAUGCAAGUCGAACGAGAUCCCUUUUUCUCUCUCUCGGGAGAAAAAGAGAAGAUUGCAGUGGCGGACGGGUGAGGAACGCGUAAGAACUUACCUUUUGGUGGGGGAUAACAGUGGGAAACUGCUGCUAAUACCCCAUAAUGCUGAGGAGCUAAAAAGUGAAAACUGCCAAAAAGAGAGGCUUGCGUCUGAUUAGCUAGUUGGAGAGGGUAAUGGCCUCCCAAGGCGACGAUCAGUAGCUGGUCUGAGAGGAUGAUCAGCCACACUGGGGACUGAGACACGGCCCAGACUCCUACGGGAGGCAGCAGUGGGGAAUUUUCCACAAUGGGCGAAAGCCUGAUGGAGCAAUACCGCGUGGAGGAAGAAGGAUCGUGGUCCGUAAACUCCUUUUUCUUAAAGGGUAAGAAACAAUGACGGUACUUAAGGAAUAAGCACCGGCUAACUACUGUAGCCAGCAGCCGCGGUAA
rnacentral:rRNA from 1 species